CAUCUUGAUAUGAUAUUUUGAUCUGAGAGACUUCUCUGCACUAUCUCGAUCUAGAGACUAUGUCGGAUCAUCUAUAUCGGAGAUUAUGAGAUUUCGCUGCAAAAUUGACGACAUGGGAGGCCGAGAUGGACCAAAGCUUCGAAGAUUGGGGUUUAUGGCGAGGCGAGCAUACGAACCGUCGUCGUCGCCCUUGGUGUUCGCAUCACGAGGAUCUGCGAGAAAUUUGCAUGAAAUUUUCGAAAGCGUAGCAUCGAAGAAAUUUGUGCAUGCGAACCGUCGUCGUCGGCCUUAGUGUUCGCAUCACGAGCAGGGAUCUGCGAGAAAUUUGCAUGAAAUCUUCGAAAGCAUAGCAUGGAAGAAGCUUGUGCGAUCGAAGAAGAUUGUGAUCGGCCUCGAUCUCCGAGACCUUGGCUGGGUCGUGUAAAGAGAAGCAUCUUCAGGCCAAUUCAUUGCAUAGCUUCCACUUCCAGCAAGAUCUUCAAGGCUCAUUUUAGCUAGUUGGCUGUGUUUAGUACUUAUUGGGUUUCAUGUGUCUAGGCCCAAACAAAUUGGUUACACCACCAGUAAAUAGUCAUUCUAUAGUGAGGGCCUUAUGUAUGGUCCUUAAAUGAGGUUCUAUCUCUUAACCGGAUUAGGCUAACCAAUUUGAUCCAAGGGUUAAGAGAUAGGGCCUCACCGAAGGGACAUAUAUAAGGCCCUCAUUAUAGAAUUCUUGCACCAGUAAUUGCAAAUUGGGCCUAAUAUUUCUGAUAUCAAUUUUUGGGUCCAAUAAUUAUCGAUUUUGGGGAAGGGUUUAGUAGUUCUGCAAUUUUGGCCCAAAAGCUGCUAACUCGUUCCAAGAAUUUACACCUCUGUGUAUAUUUUAUCGGUUUUUCAUUUGUAUUUUUUUGGCCAAUACUUGAUGUUCUUUUCUGCAGCUAUGCUUCUGUUCAUAUGAAUUAAUUUGGUUGUUAAUCUAUCUUUUUGGAACAGAGACCUUUUGUAAAGCUUGAAAAUGCAAAAAGGCCAUUGACUACUGGGAUGGUCGCUACUGUGAAGGCUUGGGAUCUUGAGAUGAUAAUGGUGAUAAAGAAAGCAGCUUGGCUGAAUGAUAACUUUUUUGUUUGUUUGGUUUUUGGUGUGUGCGCGCCAGUUUCUCUGUUAUCAAGUUUCAGGUAAUAUAAUGAAUGAGGACGUUGGUUUACCGAGAAAACAUGAUUUGAAACAUGACACUAACACGACCGAAUAACAAUAUAUUCACUAUAUUUAUAGGUUUUUGCCUGUAAUAGGCUGAAGUUA